rnacentral:rRNA from 1 species
UACGUAGGGUGCAAGCGUUGUCCGGAAUUAUUUGGGCGUAAAGAGCUCGUAGGCGGUCUGUCGCGUCGGCUGUGAAAACCCGGAGCUCAACUCCGGGCCUGCAGUCGAUACGGGCAGACUGGAGUUCGGCAGGGGAGACUGGAAUUCCUGGUGUAGCGGUGAAAUGCGCAGAUAUCAGGAGGAACACCGGUGGCGAAGGCGGGUCUCUGGGCCGAUACUGACGCUGAGGAGCGAAAGCGUGGGGAGCGAACAGG